rnacentral:rRNA from 1 species
UAGGGAAUAUUGGACAAUGGGUGAGAGCCUGAUCCAGCCAUGCCGCGUGCAGGAAGAAGGCGUUAUGCGUUGUAAACUGCUUUUUGCCAGGGGAUAAAAUGAGCGUGCGCGCUUAAUUGAAGGUACCUGGUGAAUAAGCCACGGCUAACUACGUGCCAGCAGCCGCGGUAAUACGUAGGUGGCAAGCGUUGUCCGGAUUUAUUGGGUUUAAAGGGUGCGUAGGUGGCCCUGUAAGUCAGGCGUGAAAUCCCCGGGCUUAACCUGGGAAUGGCGCUUGAAACUACGUGACUGGAGUAUGGCAGAGGGAGGUGGAAUUCCACGUGUAGCGGUGAAAUGCGUAGAGAUGUGGAGGAACACCGAUGGCGAAGGCAGCCUCCUGGGCCAAUACUGACGCUCAUGCACGAAAGCGUGGGGAGCAAACAGGAUUAGAUACCCAAGUAGUCCCUGAGCGGGC